CCUACGGGAGGCUGCAGUGGGGAAUAUUGCACAAUGGGCGAAAGCCUGAUGCAGCAACGCCGCGUGAGUGAUGAAGGCCUUCGGGUUGUAAAGCUCUGUCUUUGGGGACGAUAAUGACGGUACCCAAGGAGGAAGCCACGGCUAACUACGUGCCAGCAGCCGCGGUAAUACGUAGGUGGCAAGCGUUGUCCGGAUUUACUGGGCGUAAAGGAUGCGUAGGCGGAUAUUUAAGUGAGAUGUGAAAUUCCCGGGCUUAACUUGGGAGCUGCAUUUCAAACUGGAUAUCUAGAGUGCGGGAGAGGAGAAUGGAAUUCCUAGUGUAGCGGUGAAAUGCGUAGAGAUUAGGAAGAACACCAGUGGCGAAGGCGAUUCUCUGGACCGUAACUGACGCUGAGGCAUGAAAGCGUGGGUAGCAAACAGGAUUAGAUACCCUGGUAGUC
rnacentral:rRNA from 1 species